UAAGGAAAAUGUUGGGCCUUAAUUCAAUUAUUUAAUAGAUGGCCCUAUUAUUGUUUAAUUAACUUGGGCUGCCCAUUUUAUAGUGGGCUGCGAAAAUUUUUAAGAAAAAGGGGGAGGUCCUUGAUUUAAUUAUUUUAAAUGGGCUGCCCAUUAUUUAUUAAUUGGACUUAUAGCAAGGUUUGAAUAAUUUUUAUUUAAAGAAUAAUUUGCAUAAUAAUAUUAUUAUUAUUAUUAUGUGCAUAUACGAUUAAGCAUGAGAUGAUUUGUAUAAUAAUAUUAUAUCAUUAUUAUGUGCAUAUUUUAAGUAAUUACUUACCAUAUGCUAAGUAUGCAUUUGCAUCAUGCAAUAAAAGUAUUUAUGAUUUAAUUGGUUUUAUUUAUAAAUCCAAUUAUUUAAGAAAAUUGAGUAAGAAUAUUGUUGGUGUUCUUAACUCAAGAGAAAUAUUUUCAAGUAUUUAUUUAUUAAAUUUUGAAAAUCCGGCUAAGUGAAUCAUAGAAUGUUAAGCACUACACCAUGACUUAAGAUUAGAUACAAGGAGACCUAUUGAGAAUAGAUUUCUUGUAGGCUUCGAGCAUCAGAAGGAUUAGCACUGCUAUUCCGAUUCAGAGAUAAGGUUAAACGACAGGCUUUGCCUAUACAGGUGGGCAUUACUUUUACUAUACGUAUAUAGAGAUCCCCUGCGUGUCGUAGGCCUCUUAUACGAAUAUAUGCAUGAGAUGAUUUUAACUGUUAAUUUCAGUUUAUUAUUAUGCCCAAAUGAUAAAUGACUCUUAUGAAAUGAAAAUGACAUGUUUAUGAAAUGAAAUGAAAUGUUUAUGAAAUGAUUGACUGCCAAAAAUGUUUAUGUUUUUAUAUGUAUCCUAUCUGUGUUGGUUCGCCAACUUUAAAGGAAAUCCAAUUGGGAUCCUAUGCUAGACAAAGGUCGCUAGCUAGGGUUAACGUGUACACUUAUGGAGACCGCGAGUCGCUUGCGACCGGUCUUGGCGUUCGUGGUAAGGAGGCCUCCUUCCCGGCGCGUGACAGAAAGGAACAGAUAUGGAUCAUAUGAAGGAAAAUGAUCGGCCGAUCGACUUUAUGAAAAUGAAAGAAAUAUUUUAGUUGAGCAACUGAUGGAAUGGAAUGAUGUUGAGCGGGUGUUCCUUUGACAUUUCAAGAAAUGUAACCUUGAGUAUACAUCUUCAUAUGUAUAUCUCACACGUUUUCCGCUGCAAAACACUUUGAUUAGGAUAACUCUAUGUUAUGAAGUUGUGACACGUGUUAUUGGGUAACCCACCUUAAUCAGUUCUCCUUUAUGUGUAUGUGUUAUAAGUAUCCAAAUGAUCAUAUAUGAUCCUAGCUUUUUAUUUAUGAGUGACAUUUCCAUAUACUUUAAUGUUAAGUAAUUGUCCAUUUCCA